rnacentral:rRNA from 1 species
UUAGAUGUCCGGGGCCGCACGCGCGCUACACUGAAGGAAUCAGCGUGUGCUCUCCCYGYCUGGCAAGRCYGGGUAACCCGCCGAACCUCCUUCGUGAUAGGGAUAGGGGCUUGUAACUGUUCCCCUCGAACGAGGAAUUCCCAGUAAGCGCGAGUCAUAAGCUCGUGUUGAUUACGUCCCUGCCCUUUGUACACACCGCCCGUCGCUACUAYCGAUUGAAUGAUUUAGUGAGGUCUUCGGACUGGCGCUCGGAGCGGCCUCCGGGCCGGGCCGACGYGCCGGAAAGAUGACCGAACUUGAUCAUUUAGAGAAAGUAAAAGUCGUAACAAGGUUUCC